AUUGAACGCUGGCGGCAGGCCUAACACAUGCAAGUCGAGCGGCGAGGCGGACGGGUGAGUAAUGCCUAGGAAUCUGACUGGUAGUGGGGGAUAACGUUCGGAAACGGGCGCUAAUACCGCUUACUCUAAGAUGAGCCUAGGUCGGAUUAGCUAGUGGGUGGGGUAAAGGCCUACAAAGACGAAGAUCCGUAACUGGUCUGAGAGGAUGAUCAGUCACACUGGAACUUAGCCACGGUCCAGACUCCUACGGGAGGCAGCAGUGGGGAAUAUUGGACAAUGGGCGAAACCCUGAUCCAGCCAUGCCGCGUGUGUGAAGAAGGUCUUCGGAUUGUAAAGCACUUUAAGUUGGGAGGCGUUACCAACAGAAUAAGCACCGGCUAACUCCGUGCCAGCAGCCGCGGUAAUUC
rnacentral:rRNA from 1 species